rnacentral:misc_RNA from 1 species
GUUACAAAACCAAAUCCACGAGAUUCUCUAGUCCAUGGAUCAACCACCAGAUGAACAUCAAUCACCGUUCCCUUACUAGCAAAAUGCUUCUCAAGAUCCCUCUUGGUGAUCCGAGGUGACAGACCAGUCACGUACAAAUUGUUACCAGGAUUUUCCACAUCCCUUGAGGAGCUCCUUGACCUGUCCCUGUCCCUUGAUCUCGACCUUGACACAGACAAAGACCUCGACACAGACCUCCUGCAUCGGUUGUAUGGAGAAGGAGAGCGAGAAUACCUUGACCUUCUGGAGUAUGACAUCAUAAGAAGAAAUGAGGUAGACCAGUCUCUUUGAUAUCGUUAGUUCUCACAAUGCAAAAAAAUAUUCAAAAUGGAGAAAUACACCCACACAAAAG